rnacentral:tRNA from 1 species
UGGGGAGUGGUGUAACUGGCGAGCACUCGGGGCCUUGGCCCCCGCGGACCGGGUUCGAAUCCUGGCUCCCCAG